rnacentral:lncRNA from 1 species
AUAACAUACAAGGAGGUUAGUUUUUUUAUAAUCUUGUUUUAAGCUCUAUUAUGUGGGGCCAUAGUGUCAUUAACCUAAGGCUAACUUUUUCCUUCACUACUGAGGCAAAACUUUCUGAGUACUUAAUGCUCCCUGAAUUCUGACAUUUUCCACUCAGGUUUGUGGGUGUAGGAGUAAUGUACGAGUCCGACUCUUGUACUAUUAGCCUUUCUGAUAGCUCUUUCCCUGAUUGAGAGCUCUUCCCACAGACAUGUGCUGACAGUGCUCAGCUGAAGACCCAUUGAGGACUCCUUGAAGUUCUCUCGGCAGCUCUCCCCUCUAUGGUCCUUGCUUCAUGAACUCAAGCUUGCCUUAAUCCUGCCUCCCACCUCUCUCUCCUUAGCUGAGAGAGACUGCCAGUCUUUGAGUAGUGACUUUUUCCUGGGCUGAGGGUUUGUCUCAGUAAGCUGGAGCAGUCUUAAGUCUUACUUUGUGUGUUUCUCUUCUCUCAAGGAUCACUCAGUUUUCUUGCCCAGUGUCCAGUGUUUUAUAAGCCAGGGAAUCAUAUCUUUUUUGUUUUUAAAAUUCAUUUUAGGCAGGAUGGUAAAUCUGGUCUCUGGUACUCCAUCUUGGCCAGAAAAGGAAGUUUGAACAUAGGUUCUUGUGGCUUCAUUUAAAAAAAGACUUUUACCUACACGAUUUUGUUCUCUUUUAUUGCUGAGUAAAAUUCUGUUGUGUAUAUAUGCCACAUUUUUGUUAUCCAUUCAUCCACUGAAGGGCAUCUAGGUUGGCUCCACAGUUUAGAUAUUGUGAAUUGUGCUGCUAUAAUGCUAAGUGAAGUUAGCCAAUCCCCCCAAAAAACUAAUGCUGAAUGUUUUCUCUGAUAUAAGAAGGCUGACUCAUAGUGGGGUAGGGAAGGGGAG